AGUGAGAGUAGAGGCGCGAUGACCAUGAGUAAAUAUCUUGAAGGUGAUGUUCCUGUAGAUAGGUAUUGAAAGGGGAAUUUGCCGAAGUGAAAUAGAAAUAACAUCAUUUUAUUUCACUGGUCCACCAUUGAAGAAAUGCUGGGCUGUCAUAUAGUGGAAUACUAUAUGGAGGGCUAUCUCACGC
rnacentral:ncRNA from 2 species